rnacentral:lncRNA from 1 species
AGUACACAGAUAGGAGUGGGGCUAUGUAGAAUAAGUAGUUAUUUUAUAUAAUGAAGAUACCUAAUAUACAGUGUUAAUAGAGAUAGAUAACUGCUAAAAAGGUGGUUCAACAGGUAGAAUCGAUGAAUAGUCAAGAAAAGUAGUUAUCAUCUGUAGUAUAUGAGUUGGUAUCUCGGGGUAGUAUAAGGAGGAUGGGAGAGGGGAAGAAAAUACCAGACUGCGAUAGUACUGAG